rnacentral:lncRNA from 1 species
CUUGGCAACCAAUGACCCUUUCUUUGUAAACAUCUCAGGACUCACCCUCCUGACUUCCCCUCGGCACCAUCUUUAACUGGCUCAUGUGCCCUUCAAAGGAGUUUACUAGAGUUACUUUUAAGAGCAUGGAUGACUCAAAGACCCUAUGUCCAUCUAUCCUUGACAACCACUCUGAUUCAUCUUUAUGCUCUGAUGGCAGAGAGACCAGCAGAGCCUUGAUGAAAUCCACGGGAGGGAAAACUGGUGUGAACUGAUGUGAAGGCAUCAAAAGGUUUGUGUUUGUUGUUGAAGAUGUGAUCUCUUGACUUCCUGCUCCUGCCACCGUGCUUGCCACUUGCUGCUAUGUCCCUGGCCAUUAUGGACUCUUCUGGAACUGUAAUCCCAAAUAAAAUAUUUUC